rnacentral:lncRNA from 1 species
AUUCAUUGUGUUGGUAAGAAACAAAGUGGAGGAAGCUCAUUUUUUAUCAAGAUCAAUAAUAAUUUUUGAGAAAACCAUUACCACUUGGUCUUGCCCUUGUAAUUCUAGUGAUACUAGCUAAGGUAACAAAUCAGGAAUUUCUCCUUCUCCUUGCUUGGCCGAAAACUAAGAGUAAUAUAUAGGAAGAUGUUUUAUUUCAAUUUUUCUCUUUAUUAAUAUUAUAGAUCCAUGAUAGUUAAUGUUAGAUCUAGAAGAAUCCUAUACUUUCCCCUCUCUUUGUUCCGAGCUGGCCGAACCCUAGGUGGUUUGAUGUUGAUUAAAAUUUAAAUUUCCUUCAUGCUUGAAGCUUUCUUGUUUUAUGGUCGUUGAUGAAUCUAAGCUUUGAGUUUUGGGUUUUUGAAUAAAGCAAUUGUUUUUUAAGUUUAAAGAAAGAUUUUUGGGAAAUGUGUGAAAUAAAUUUAUGACAUUGUUUUCAUGCAAUUAAAGCUAUCACAAGUUGUUUGGGUGAAUCAAUUUUUGAAAGAAAGGGUGAGAAAUAAAUUUUAGGGUUUUGAGAAAUAAAUUUUAGGGUUUGGGUAAAUCAAUUUUUGAUUUUAGGGUUUUGGGAAUUUGAUUAAUUUUUUUAAAUCCAUUCAAUUAAUGUUGUUUUCUUACAAUUGAAAAUAUCACAAGUUGUUUUAGGUUAUCAAUUUUGGAAACAAAAUGCGAGAAUUGAAAAGCCCUUAGAUUUAUGAGUUUUGAAUUUAUGGGUUGAAGAAUUUUUGCUAAUGUGUUGAUUUUUGAAAGAAAAUUAGAAAAAGCCCAAUUUUUAUUUGUUUUAAUUUUAGGGUGUUGAAAAUUUGAUUAAUUUUUGGAAAUCCAAUCAACUGAUGUUGUUAUCUUACAACUGAAAAUAUCACAAGUUGUUUUAGUGUAACAAUUUUUUGGAAAGAAAAUGCGAGAAUUGAAAAGCCCUAAAUUUAUGAGUUAUGUAUUUAGGGUUUGAAGAAAUUUUGCUAAAGCGUUGAACUUAAACAAAUUGUUUAUGUGAAAUUACUAAUUGUAUAAAUAAUUUAUCUUAGUUGGAUUUUAUAAAAUGAACUAGAUGUUAGCUAGGUUAUUAGGUUAUACUAUAGUGUCCAGACUGCAAAGCUCUUGUCCUCAUUCCUUUUCCAUCAUCUUUAACUUUUGCUGAUUGUUAGAUGAUAUGGAAUGUCUUACAUAAUUGCAUGGUAUGUUUCCUAUUUGACUAGAAUCAGGGGUCCUAGUAUUAAUUAAAGAAGGAUUAAAAAUUAUACUUUUGUAAUUUUUUUUAUAAGCAAAAGUUGAAUUAUAAGGAGUACAAGGGGUAUUCAAUCCUUACAAUUCAAAAACAAUCACUUUAGAUGCAUUUAAAACAAACUAAAGGAUUGUUACACUCCACUAAGAAAAACCAAAACCAAAACCACGUAAUAUAAACAAUUUGAUCCACUAAGGAAGCUAUAUUUAACACAAGCUCCCUGAAACAAAAUAUUAUUUUGCAUACGCCAAAUACUCCACGUUUUGUACUNNNNNNNNNNNNNNNNNNNNNNNNNNNNNNNNNNNNNNNNNNNNNNNNNNNNNNNNNNNNNNNNNNNNNNNNNNNNNNNNNNNNNNNNNNNNNNNNNNNNNNNNNNNNNNNNNNNNNNNNNNNNNNNNNNNNNNNNNNNNNNNNNNNNNNNNNNNNNNNAUCACUUUAGAUGCAUUUAAAACAAACUAAAGGAUUGUUACACUCCACUAAGGAAAACCAAAACCACGUAAUAUAAACAAUUUGAUCCACUAAGGAAGCUAUAUUUAACACAAGCUCCUUGAAACAAAAUAUUAUUUUGCAUACGCCAAAUACUCCACGUUUUGUACUUUGAUUCAAAUCAUGUCCAAACACAUAAUUCAAUUUUAUUUCUCUCUUUUGUUUCCUUAGGUAAAACACUGACUUCCAUGUAUCAAAGUGGUAGCAUCCUCCAUGACUCGUCUCCUUGACUUGGAUGCCUUUAUCGGAUGACUAAUGUCUAUCCAAAAGAAAUCAGUCUAGCCUCACAGGUAUCUCAGAUGUAAACUUGUUUUACAGCUAUUCCAGAGAAAUCAGCGUGAACUUGCCGCUGAUAUUUUCAUAGAGGAUGUUAAAUUACUUCUUGGUAUUAAUUAGUUUUCAUAUAUUUAUGUUCUAUCAUAAUUUGUUUUCCUCUUUGAUUGAAUUAAAAAAAAAAAAAUCAACAGUUACCUGCGGAAUUACCUGANNNNNNNNNNNNNNNNNNGUGCCAAAAUCCCCAGAAAGAUCCUUUGAAAUAACCGAAUUACCAGAAACAGAAAAAUCCUCAGGAAACCCUUGGGAAUACCUGUGGAAUUUCCUGAAACAGAAAAAGCCAUAGGAAAUUCCUCUGAAUGGCAAAAUCCGCGGGAAAUUCUGCUAGAAAUAUGCAAAUUUCUAAUAGUAUACUGACGUAAAUAAGGGAUGAUGCAUAGUCUUUCGUACUCUUUUAAUUAAAUAUUUAAUUAUUUUACGGGAAUUAAACUAAAGUUGAAUUGAUAUUUAGUGUUGAUGUAAAAAUUAUUUACCCUUGCAUUAGUUAUAUCUCUAUAAAAUUGAUAAUUAAGAGGAACUAAUACAUCAAAGUGACGUAAAAAAAAAAUUGAAUAAACAAGAAAAAAAAAUGCAAUGGUUUUGAGUGGCCCAUUACCCACAUGGCCUGUAUGGGAUCGGGACGACUCGUAAAUAUAUAGCCCAAUAAUAAUUGGGUCUGGACAGUGUGGCUCAUUUAUGUAGUCUAGCCCAUCGGGGUUUACCAACUUGCGCAAGCCCAACCCAUUUCACAGCUCUAAUUGCAGUUGGGGAAAGAAAUUAAAGAAGUUAAUGAUAUUUGUUCAUUUCUAGAGGAUAUCCUGAUAUCAUAUAUUCAAAUGCAAGAAAGUAUUAAGUUUUGACGAUCUCUUCAACUUUUCGGUGGUUUGCAAGAAGUGGAGGGUAGCUCAGAAAAUUUAUUGACGAAAAUUCCUAGAAUCACAAUCACCAAUUAUUGCAGUAAACUACUAGAUAUGCACAAAGGUUUUACUCUCUUUAUAGCAAGACCGAAAAACAAUCUUACAGUUCUAAGAUGGAUUAUUUUUAGGGCUUAUUCUAUUGUAGUUUUUCUAGUGGAUAUUUGAUUAAGGUAGGUGCCAACAAAACACUUAAGCUAAUGAAUCCAUUUAUUAUAAAACUGAAGAUCAUUGAUAUCUCAAUAUGUAGUUGGAAAGGAUUUGACUAAUUUUGAUUGUCGUGACUUACUCUUUUGCCAAAGGCUUUAAUGAUUUUGUCAAAGUGGCUUCAUACAGACGUCACCUUGGUUUGUAUAUUUAUUAGUUAUGACACUUAUUACAAAAGGGGAUAUCCAUGGAAGGUUGUGGACUUUGCUGUGUUUAACAAUACUAUUUUUGUUCUCACUGACAAGGCUGAAAUAGAGGUACUUAGCAUGAACUCUACAAAUUUGAAAUUUUUAUAGCUGAAGACUACUCCCAAUGUAAAUUCCUGGUCCUAUAAUUUACUUAGUUGUGAUUGGGAACUUCUAAUGGUUACAUUGUACUGAAUAAAAUGGAUGUCUACAAGAUAGACUAGGAAACAAUGACCUACCUCAAGUAAAAAAGUUCGGGUGACCUUGUAUUAUUUUAUUUGCCUUACAAAUGUUAUGCGCAGUAAGUUCUGAGCCCCAGUAAGUAGGCAUAUGAAAGAAAUUGUGUAUUGUAUUACCCGGGUUCGCUAGCGCAUAGCAUUUGUAAGGCGAAUGAAAUAAAGCGAAGUCAUCCAAGUUUAUAGCUUGAGAUAACUAAUUGUCUCUCAAUCUAAGGUUUAGACAUCCAAUAAUUUAUUUGCUACAAAGUGAUACACUAGAAUCUCCCUAUCAAACCUAAGUAAAUUUUACGUUCGAAGAAAUUACAAUGAGAAUAUUUGUCUAUUUUAAAAAUUUCAAACUUGUAGAGUUUAUGCUAAGUACCCCUAUUUCAGCUUUAUCGGCUAGAACAUAAAUAGUAUUUUUAAACACAAUAAAGUCCACAACCUUCCAUGGAUAUCCCUUUUAGAGUAAGUGUCACAACUCGAAUAUAAUGACUGAUAUAAACAUACAAACCGAGGGAACGUUUGUAUGUAGCCACUAUGACAAAUUCAUCAGGGCCUUUGGCAAAAGCGGGUAAAACACGACAAUCGAAAUAAGUCAAACCAUUUUCAACUACUGAGAUAUCAAAGAUUUAUGUUUUCUUGUAAAUGGAUUCAUUAACUUAGUGUAUUGUUGGCAUCUACCAUGAUCAGAUAUCCACUAGACGAACCACAAUAGGAUAAGCCCCAAAAACAAUUCAUCCUAGAGUUGGAAGCUCGUUUUUCGGGUAUGCUAGAAAAAGAGUAAAACAAUUUUGCAUACCUAGUAGCUUGCACAAUCAUCGGUGAUUGUGAUUCUAGGAAUUUCCCCCAAUUAAUUUUUUGAACUGCCCUCUACUCCUUGCAAACCAUCGAAAAAUUGAAAAUAUCGUCAUAACUUACUAGUUUUUUGGAUAUGAUAUCAAGCUUAUCCUCAGAAAGUGGACUGAUAUCUGUAACUUCUUUCAUUUUCUUCCCUGCAACAAUGGGAAUGUUAGGUGAUUUCCACUUAUACAUAUGAGAGAAACUGUUUCUUCACCUAAUUACAAUCAAAAUAUUGGAAUUGUGUAGUAAUAUUGAAUGUCAUCGAUAAUUAUGUCAACCAAAAAUGACCAUAUUCAUAAUUAUAAAGAUGCAUUGAAAAAACAUUGUGUCACUUGAAACUAUAACAAUGUCAUAAUUUAUGCUGUUGAGUGGCCAUUUAAUCGGUCCAACAGUCAUAUGUCAAUCAUUAGGACUGUGCAAUGGAACUUGAUUCAUGAUCAUAAGGAUGGGAAUAAUGCUCUUGAAGGAAAAAUUAUGUCAUGAAGUAAUAUUGGUGAUAAAGUUUGACACAUUCAGAUGUAAGAUUCAUUUGUCAGAGGUCUCGUGUGGAAGAUGCUUAACGCAUUGAGUAGCAGUUUUAUUUCCAAUUCUUUAAAUCAACAUUUCAUAUUGUUGGCUCCAAAAUGGAAAAACUAAAGGUAUUAAGAACACUUUCUAUCCAUUGGAAAUUAAAGAGACACGUAAAAAUAGUGCAUCCAUUGCUUAUUCUAUGAAGAUCACAAAAUGCAAAAGAAUCAUACUAAUAUAGUUUUUUUGAAGGAAGAAUCAUACUAAUAUACUGCUACUAUUAUUUGUUUCUACUAUGUGCACCCUUUUGUUUUAGAAAAAGUGGUUAAUAGUUUUUUUUUUACAAAAAAAGUGGUUAAGAGCUAUGAAGCACGGACUCUGUUAUGGACACCGCGACACCGGUAAUGUAAAAAAUAUAAGACACAAGAUACCGCUAUAUAUUUAUAAAAUAUAUAAAUUGAAAAUCAAAAUAUAUACAUGUAAAUCUAAGUUGUUGGAAAUUACUUUUUAAAAUAAGUUUGUUGAGGAAGUUAUUUCUUAAAAAAUGUUUUAAAACAAAAAUAUGAUAGUAUUUUACAUUUAUUUAUUCAUCUACUAUCGAAAAAACUAAAAAUAUUGUGAUCAAAAUGUAAUGUUUGCAACCUCUCAUUGAUCAAUAAUGUUGUUUCGACACAUCCUUAACACUUGUAGAUAUGUCUGAUAUGUGUCAUACGAGUGUCUUACAAGUAUCAGUCACCGAUCAAAGGAGUGUCAAAGUAAAAGAAAAAUUUAAUUUUUUUUUGACACCAAUAUGAGCUAUCUGACACGUAUCGGACGAGUGUCGAACACCAACACGUGUCGGAUACCGCGACACGCCCAUUCAUAGAGGUGUCAGUUAUUCUUAUGAUUACUGGAAGACACAAACAAAAAUAAUCUUUAAACUUAUCUUUAAUAUUAUCCUAAAUUAUAUUUCCGCAAUCCCUGGAAGACACAAACAAAACCAAAAAAAGGAUCAAAUUUUUUUGAAAGGUUUAUAUUUUUAAAAAAUGGAAAACAGGAAAUAUAAACUGACCAUAUAUGAGAUUUCCAUCGACUUUUCAAUAUGAAGCUUCUUGGUGGCGGACAAUGGCGGAAAUCGUUGCAAAGAUGGAAGAAGAGAUGCAAGGAGAUUUGAGAGAUUGAGAUUUAACAUGUCAUUGGGACUUGUAGUUUGAGGGCCUGUUUGAAUUUAGCUUAUUAUUAGAAUCAAAGAAGGAAGAUAAAACAGAAGUGACUUGAAACUUGUUCUAGAAGCUUUUAGUUAGAGUUUGUUGUAACUAUCAUAGUUUGUUGUAACUAACUUUGAACUACUUUUCCAGCAUUUUUCUUUCUUUCACUUUGUAUAUAAAUCAUUGUGUGAUGCAAUAACAAACUAUGAGAUCAUUCUAUCGCUUUCACAAAGAUUCUUAAGCUUCUUCUUUCGAUGUUAAUUCAUCACUUUAACAUGGUAUCUUGAGCCUGUACUUUUUAGAGCUCGUUUCCGCAUUCAACAAUGGUGGCACCUACAAUGCGUGCUUCCUCAAGCAGUUUCACCGAUCAAAUGCAAGAUCAAUCAAGUACGUACUAUGUUCAUCCUAGUGACGGUCCUUCCUCCAUCGUCGUUAAGCAUCUUCUUACUGGUUCCAAUUACCAUUCAUGUGCGAGAUCGAUGUGACAUGCUCUCGGCGCAACGAUGAAGUAUAUGAGUUCGUCGAUGGUUCGAUUUCGGUGGUUACAGAUCCGUUCGAUCCUACCUUCUA